rnacentral:rRNA from 1 species
CUACGGGUCGCUCCAGUGAGGAAUAUUGCACAAUGGGGGAAACCCUGAUGCAGCAACGCCGCGUGGAGGAUGACGCAUUUCGGUGUGUAAACUCCUUUUAUCAGAGAAGAAAAUGACGGUAUCUGAUGAAUAAGCUCCGGCUAACUCCGUGCCAGCAGCCGCGGUAAUACGGAGGGAGCAAGCGUUAUUCGGAAUCACUGGGCGUAAAGGACGCGUAGGCGGGUUUUUAAGUCAGGUGUGAAAUCCUAUGGCUCAACCAUAGAACUGCACUUGAAACUGGGGACCUAGAGUAUGGAAGGGGCAGGUGGAAUUAGUGGUGUAGGGGUAAAAUCCGUAGAUAUCACUAGGAAUACCGAAAGCGAAGGCGACCUGCUGGGACAUUACUGGCGCUGAGGCGUGAAAGCGUGGGGAGCAAACAGGAUUAGAUACCCUAGUAGUC